GAAUAAGAAGCGAUUAAUUGCACUCAGUUUCGACCUGACCUUAGAUACCUAUUAUCCUUAUUCU
rnacentral:tRNA from 1 species